CAAGAGGAAAGAAAGUUCAUUUAAGUGGAGAAAGAUAUAAGAAGAUGUACUGUCCAUUCUGUGGUUCCAGCGUGACAUCUUCGCAUGGCUUUUGUGGUGUCUGUGGCAGAGACAUCACAUUUCUAAAAAAUGUGGCUAACAAAGUCCCUGAGGAGAUGCCCACCACUAGUGCGCAUCUAAGUGCACAGCCUAGCACCAGUACAGCAGGAAGCUCAGCUGUAGAGUCCUUUCAGAAAUAUAGGGAAAUAAAAAAGAGGGAGAGACCUUUUUUACAAAGGGACGGCAUAACUCCAAAAAUAAACAGAAAUUGGUGAAGAUUUCUGUUGGAGUAAUGAGGAGGAUGGAUGGCUGCCUUAAACCUUUGAGAGGGAGGUCACUUCCCCUUAAUGUCGAACCUCAAUGGGCAACUGUUGGCUGCUGCCAUAAAAAAGCAGAAAGCCUUUAACCAGGACUUGGAAGAUGGUGCCCAUGUCUUGUUGUACCCUGAUGCGAGGGUGAUAACAAAUAUCCCCGGAACGGACACCCCUUUCACAGUACAGAUGUACAAAGAGGCCAUUGGAAAGCCCUACCAACGAAUUACGUUGUACAUCUGUACUCUUGAAGCCGUUGAAAACAGUUGUUACACUGGAACAACCUCUUCAAGUGACGAGGACAGUGUGGUUUUUGCAAAGUUGCCAUCUGGAGACAGUCUUGCUGACACCGUGGUCAGUUUGGAUCUAUCGUGGCAUUUAUUCUUAAUUAAAGUGAAUUUAUUUUAUUUCAGUCAGUCAUUUGUGUGUUGUAUGCAGGUGUGGGACUUUCCAAAUGAACAGAGCACUCCCAGAAUGGACAACAGUUUGCCAGGGUCAAAUAAAACAUUGUCAACAUGUUAUUUUGUGCCACAAGAAGCAGAAUGUUUUAACAGUACAGUAGUUUGAAUAUAUUUUUUGUUUACCUUUAUCAGACCUCUCAGGCACCCACAACCAGCGUCUGAUCGGUAGGAUGGAGAACCAACCCCAUUCCAGGAAGAGGUCCAGUCUGCCCCGGGUCAGAACACCUUCUAUAGGUAAACGAUGUUGACAGUUGCAUCGUGACACAGUUGUUUGCAACUACACAACUGUGUAUGCACUUAUCAUUAUUGACAGCCAGUCUGAGCCAGAAGAGGAAACGGAGCAAACUGCAGAGGAAAUGUAUUAAAUGUUACUUUUAUCACUUGAUUUUUUUAUUCUAUACUGUAAAUCUUAUUAUAGCUUCAUCAUUUAAUAUUACAAUACAUCACUUUGUCUUUCCCAGCACAGAAUACCUGACUGCGCCAGACAUUGUUGCAGAACUCUCUGCAAAAAUUAAAAAUACCUCUUGCAGCAGGUUCAAUAUUAAUAGAGCCAAUGUGUGGGAUGGAGCAAUCCGCGGCUUCAAAGGGGCCUCAUUCGACCCCUCUCAUCAGAUGCAGGUUAAGUUUACUGAUGAUGAGGGACAAACUGAGGAUGGAGUGGACACUGGUGGUCCCAAGCGUGAGUUCCUGACCCUCCUAAUGGAAUGCCUGAGAAUGAGAAGAAUAUUUGAUGGUCCACAGGACAGGAAAUUCCUCAAGUUCGACAAUGCAGCUGCAAAAGAUGACGAAUACUUUCAUGCUGGGAGGAUGAUUGCAACUUCUAUAGUUCAAAAACACAAGGAGAAAAAGAAGAAAACAUCAUGUCAUGGCUCACUGUCUCAAAAUCUGAUUCUAAAUGUAUAAUGUUCUUUAUAAAGAUAUAACUAAUACACAAUUAUGAAUGUAUAAUAUAAGCUGUUUUGUGUAUUUAAUCAUGCAUUGGUCUACAAUUUAAUGAUGGCUUCUACAUAUUUCACAUAAACAGACAAUGAAAAAAUGUGUCCUUCAUGCUGAUAACUAGUGUAUGCAUCUGCCAAUUAGCAUUCUAAACAGAGCAGUGUGUUGAAUUCUUAUUUCUUGCAUUUGAAACAGAUACAAUACAAAAAGUGAACUUACUGUUGUGUUCAACUUCUGCCAAAAACUGUACAUGUUUGCCACAGG